rnacentral:rRNA from 1 species
CAAUAGCGUAUAUUUAAGUUGUUGCAGUUAAAAAGCUCGUAGUCGGAUUUUGGCUGAGAACGAUCGGUCCGCCGUUAGGUGUGCACUGAUUGGUCUCAGCUUCCUGGUGAGGGGGUGUGCUUCACGGCCACUUAGUCACCGUGGUUACUUUGAAAAAAUUAGAGUGUUCAAAGCGGGCUUACGCUUGAAUAUAUUAGCAUGGAAUAACACCAUAGGACUCCUGUCCUAUUUCGUUGGUCUCGGGACGGGAGUAAUGAUUAAGAGGAACAGUUGGGGGCAUUCGUAUUUCAUUGUCAGAGGUGAAAUUCUUGGAUUUAUGAAAGACGAACUACUGCGAAAGCAUUUGCCAAGGAUGUUUUCAUUAA